AUUGAACGCUGGCGGCAGGCCUAACACAUGCAAGUCGAACGGUAACAGGAAACAGCUUGCUGUUUCGCUGACGAGUGGCGGACGGGUGAGUAAUGUCUGGGAAACUGCCUGAUGGAGGGGGAUAACUACUGGAAACGGUAGCUAAUACCGCAUAACGUCGCAAGACCAAAGAGGGGGACCUUCGGGCCUCUUGCCAUCGGAUGUGCCCAGAUGGGAUUAGCCAGUAGGUGGGGUAACGGCUCACCUAGGCGACGAUCCCUAGCUGGUCUGAGAGGAUGACCAGCCACACUGGAACUGAGACACGGUCCAGACUCCUACGGGAGGCAGCAGUGGGGAAUAUUGCACAAUGGGCGCAAGCCUGAUGCAGCCAUGCCGCGUGUAUGAAGAAGGCCUUCGGGUUGUAAAGUACUUUCAGCGGGGAUGAAGGGAGUAAAGUUAAUACCUUUGCUCAUUGACGUUACCCGCAGAAGAAGCACCGGCUAACUCCGUG
rnacentral:rRNA from 1 species